UGCUGUCAGACUUGGCGGGCUCUGUCAAUUAAGGGAACACAGAGCAAUCUGUGAGCGCUGAAAGGGAUCCCUUCAGAGCCCUCCGUGGCUGAGAGACAGGCCCAUUGUCUGCAUGCAUGUCUCACAUAGUUUCAGAGGCCUGAUAAGCAGGCAUGCCAUGAAAAACUGCAUUAUAUGGGUCUGGUUCUGCAAAGGAAGCCUCUGGCUUGCCUUCUGGGGAGUGUUCAAGAGCCAUUUUGAUGAAUUCCAAUUAAGAGUCUUCCUGACACCAGGGGAUGUAGAGGUCAAAGAAUGCAUUUAGCAGCUCAGCAACAGACCACAUGGAGGACAGAUAAAGCUGGCAAAGCAGCCUCAUAAGGAGUCCGUGUGACCAGCCCAAGAUCAACCAGAAAGUUAGUGGUAAGAGAAAUCCGUUCUCCUCAUACGCCAUUCUUUGCCCUAAACUACAGUCCUGCCCACAGCCACCAAAUUUGCCACAUGAGCAGUAGCACUUCAAUGUACAAGUAUAUUUCAUUGGUCAUUACAACCUGAAUCAGUGUGUGUGUGUGUCUUCCCACAUGUGUUUUUAAAAAGCACAUCAUUAUCGGAGACUUUAACUAGGAAUCAUUAGCUGAUUGUUAUAUAAUGAAAGAAAAACAUCUCCCCAAACCAAGCACUUAACACCAGAAAUUUAAUGUAUAUCCAAUACCUAAGUGAAGAUUGAAAAACACCUAACGGCUUGACUGAGAUAAUAUAUCCACUAAACUCUAUUCUCUGUUGUGGGGUAUUAAUUAGGGUUACUCUCAGGAACUCAGAGUCCAAAGUGUAUUAAUUCAGCUGACUGGCUUCCGUAGUACUUUGGCUUUGACAUUCCUUGGAUAAGGACAAACCGGGGCUCUCCAGGACGGAACCCAGCCACAGGAGAGCUGAGAUAGAAGGACAAAUUGGGGUGGAGGGGGUGGGGGGAGUUUGCCCUUCUGUAAAGAAUUCAUUAAUUUAAAAGAAGCAGGAAAUAACGCUUAAACUACAAUUGCAUCACUUGCUGCAUAACCGUGAGCGCAUGUCAUGAUGUGUUCCAUCCUGUUCCCACUAAAGUACACCACCUAAUUCAAAAGAUUUUUGUGGGGUGAUUAUUAUCUCAGGAAACCUGUGUUCUUAGACUAACUGUACAUGCUGCAAAACAAAGGGAAAAUUCUCACUAACUUCUGCCUCCUAGUUCAUACUUGGGAGACUGCCACAAGGCUCACAGCAGUGCCUAAGUCCAGUUGAAAUAUUCUAACCCAAAGUGACCAAAGAUAACUCAUUUACUAUAUUCAUAUGACAAAUGGAAAGGUUUGGCAGGGUGCUCAAGAAGAAAGAUGCUCAAGUGAUUUAAAGUAAGCGUGAAUUGCUUACCAGGGAAUUAAGUGCUUGUCACUUGCAUGCUUCUCAAUUGCAUGCGCUAUGUAUAUGUGUGUUUACAUAGUGCAUGUAUGUGUGUAUACAUGUGUGUACCUACACACACACAACAGGCUUAUACUGUAUCGUAUCAAAUGUAUGAAGUGGGAACAGGAAAGCUCCCAGUGCAGAGAUAACUCUUCUCUCUUGAUCCUGUCAGUUCUGGUGUGCUUUGCUUAUUAAGUAGUAUACUCUCUAGACUUUUUUGCCAUAAUUAAGGAAAAUUACUGCAUAGCAGUCUUAAAUUUUUUUUCCUGACUCUUGACAGGGUAGUUAAGUCAUGGUUUUCACUAGAGUUUGCAUCUAGCCUUUAUCUGCCUGAGUUUGGUAUGAGCAAGUGUUUGAUAAAUCUCAGUACUGAAUUACAUGCAGUCCCAAAUGCUUCCUGAUAUUCUCAGUGCAAUACUGGCAGAUAAGUGCAACACAGGCACACAGAAUUUAUAUAUCACAAAAAUAAUUAAUAGAAAAUAGAUUUUUUAAAUGUUUUAGGGAGACUCUAAAAGUGGAAUUGAAAAUGCGCUGUUUUGCAGGCACUGUCCCGAAAGCCUUUAGUAAUGUUAGAUGGAUCCCCAGAAAGAAAAUAAAAUGUAAUUAAUACACUUUCAGAAAAUCUUAGCAUAACCAAAAGUAUUUUGUUAGUGUG